ACAGGGAUUGCCCUAGUAACGGCGAAGUGAAGCGGCAACAGCUCAAAUUUGAAAUCUGGCUCUUUCAGAGUCCGAGUUGUAAUUUGCAGAGGGCGCUUUGGCUUUGGCAGCGGUCCAAGUUCCUUGGAACAGGACGUCACAGAGGGUGAGAAUCCCGUACGUGGUCGCUAGCUAUUGCCGUGUAAAGCCCCUUCGACGAGUCGAGUUGUUUGGGAAUGCAGCUCUAAAUGGGAGGUAAAUUUCUUCUAAAGCUAAAUAUUGGCCAGAGACCGAUAGCGCACAAGUAGAGUGAUCGAAAGAUGAAAAGCACUUUGGAAAGAGAGUCAAACAGCACGUGAAAUUGUUGAAAGGGAAGCGCUUGCAGCCAGACUUGCUUGCAGUUGCUCAUCCGGGCUUUUGCCCGGUGCACUCUUCUGUAGGCAGGCCAGCAUCAGUUUGGGCGGUGGGAUAAAGGUCUCUGUCACGUACCUCUCUUCGGGGAGGCCUUAUAGGGGAGACGACAUACCACCAGCCUGGACUGAGGUCCGCGCAUCUGCUAGGAUGCUGGCGUAAUGGCUGUAAGCGGCCCGUCUUGAAACACGGACCAAGGAGUCUAACAUCUAUGCGAGUGUUUGGGUGUCAAGCCCGAGCGCGUAAUGAAAGUGAACGGAGGUGGGAACCCGCAAGGGUGCACCAUCGACCGAUCCUGAAGUUUACGGAAGGAUUUGAGUAAGAGCAUGGCUGUUGGGACCCGAAAGAUGGUGAACUAUGCUUGAAUAGGGUGAAGCCAGAGGAAACUCUGGUGGAGGCUCGCAGCGGUUCUGACGUGCAAAUCGAUCGUCAAAUUUGGGCAUAGGGGGCGAAAGACUAAUCGAA
rnacentral:rRNA from 1 species